rnacentral:pre_miRNA from 1 species
AGGAACACAGGAUCCUGGGCUGUGUCCCCCAGCGCCCUGGGAUUCGGGACCUGUGCUGCUGGAAUUGCACUCCUGGGGUCGCGGUUCCC